rnacentral:rRNA from 1 species
UGGGGAAUUUUGGACAAUGGGCGCAAGCCUGAUCCAGCCAUUCCGCGUGAGUGAAGAAGGCCUUCGGGUUGUAAAGCUCUUUCGGCAGGAACGAAACGGGUCUAGCUAAUAUCUAGGCCUACUGACGGUACCUGAAGAAGAAGCACCGGCUAACUACGUGCCAGCAGCCGCGGUAAUACGUAGGGUGCGAGCGUUAAUCGGAAUUACUGGGCGUAAAGCGUGUGCAGGCGGUUUGUUAAGACAGAUGUGAAAUCCCCGGGCUUAACCUGGGAAUGGCGUUUGUUACUGGCAGACUAGAGUGCGUCAGAGGGAGGUGGAAUUCCACGUGUAGCAGUGAAAUGCGUAGAGAUGUGGAGGAACACCGAUGGCGAAGGCAGCCUCCUGGGAUGACACUGACGCUCAUACACGAAAGCGUGGGGAGCAAACAGGAUUAGAUACCCGUGUAGUCC